UUCGAUGAUCCAUUGUUUACAUUGUUUUCCAAAAUCAUGAAAUGAUUAUUUGUCGAUGCUAUUCGUUCGUUUUAGCAUACCCCGACAAGAUGAAGCCGUAUCGAGGUAACUCUAAUAACUAAUAACCAAUAACUCGCGAAAAUUACAGGAAUUCGCAAGCAAUUUGUACAACGUGUUCGCUUGGAUGAAAAUGUUUGAUCUCGAAGCAAUUAAUUCGGAAGUAUUGUUAUAAUGCUUGCUAGCAUUACAAAGUAUAUCGAGUGUCAUUAAGAAGCGCCAACAGCUAAUCGUUAAAUCAAUGCACCUGCGUGUAUUUAGAAUAAGGAAACAACAUUUGUCGCACGAUCGUAUAUCGGAACUGAGGUGUUAUCAGAAUUCUCAAGAUAGCAAGACAUCAACGUACAGGCUUAAAAGAAAAAUGGCUGGUCCCAGAUGUUUGAACGAGUCAAAUACAUAUAUCUAAGAUCACUCUAACUUGAGAUUCAAAAUUGAAAACUUAUCUGUCGAUAAAAGACAGGAUAACUAGAAACAAAUACACCCACGCACGUCAUAAAUGGAGGAUGUUAGUCAGUGUUGGUCGAAUGAAUGGAGACGAAAGUGAACGAAAGCGAACGACACCGAAGCAACUACCUUAUUCGAAACGAUUAAACGGCCCGUAACAGCUGGCAACGGUACCGGAACCGUUUCAUUGUCCACGAUCAGAUCCGGUGGAUACGGCAUAAGGGAAUUGCUCUCUAGUUACAUAUGCGCGACGCAUCCGAAGUUUGGUCGAGCGCUGUCAUUAUCGCCACGAUUAUGCAUAUUCAGAUAAGCAAUCAACACCAUUGAGGUACCGGGCAAGGGUCACAGAGUGGAACAGAGAUUUAGUCGGGCGCGUCGGUGUGAGUUUGUGCACGUAAAUACACGGAGUCGUGGUGUAUGGACGCGCGCGCUCGUGCUGACGAACAUGGCGAUUCAGAAAACUUUGCUUCCCUUUAAUGCGAGAUUAGCGUGAUGCACGAUUUGAAAAUCAAUCGCGAGUCGUCGGCGUCGAUGAAAUCAACGCAGACGAUAGCCAUCGGACUAAGAGAGGAAAAAAGAGGGUGAAUGAAAAGUUGACAUUGAAAUGGAAUGACACGUAAUGCACGAGCUAGGAUAACUGUCUUGUCUAAUGCUUAUGACAAACGUUCAAUCUUAAUUAAUAUUUUACGAAGAUAGAGUGUCAACGUUACUCGAUAUCGAGUUUAGAGAGCGCUCCUAAUGGCGUCCUUCUCUCGCGCGCGCGUCACCUAAUGCAGUGUCAAUAUUUUAUCAAUCCCCAUCGAUAUUUUCGUGUACUCUACACAUCUCGCGAUAUCGUACACUUUGUGUAGGCAUCAGUGUCUCUCAUCGAUGCAUCCCCAAAAGUUUCGCUACUCAUCCACGGUAUGAAUAUUUACAAAGAACUGAACCGAAUAAUCAUGUCGUACGUGGACCAACGCGGAUUCUUCUGUCAUCAUAAUGACAGAAAAAUAAUUGCUAAGAAAACGAAUCGUGAAUAGGAAAUGUCUUUAACUUGGUACGUAGCUCUUUUCUUGUUAUCGUUUCCCAAAAAUUGAUGAAGCUAGAUAUGCGAACAAUGGCUCCGUGAUGGCUAAAUCCCGUUUAAGGGUUAUCGAUAUAUAUUUUACCGUCCUGUCAAUAUUGAACAUCAUCCUAAUAUUGUCUCUGGCUGGCUUCUUCAUCAGAAAAGUCCAUAGAAUUACUAGAUGAGUUUGCUACACAUUACUGUAUAGGAAACUCAUGUCUGAUGAAGAACUUUCUGUAAAAAUCCAAAAAUAUGCGCUUGGAGGCUUAUUUUUAAACUUUAAUGAUCAAUUAAAGUUAUUCACAAGCACAAAUAAUUAUAAUUAUAAGCUUCGAUAAACCCAGGAUACUCUCACCUAGCUUGUAGUACAGUAAUGAAUCUCCUAACCUUACUUUUUAUGUAAUACUUCAUUUUAGCCAAAAA
rnacentral:lncRNA from 1 species